rnacentral:rRNA from 1 species
UACAGAGGGGGCAAGCGUUGUUCGGAAUUACUGGGCGUAAAGGGCGCGUAGGCGGCCUUCUAAGUCGAACGUGAAAUCCCCGGGCUCAACCCGGGAACUGCGUCCGAUACUGGAAGGCUUGAAUCCGGGAGAGGGAUGUGGAAUUCCAGGUGUAGCGGUGAAAUGCGUAGAUAUCUGGAGGAACACCGGUGGCGAAGGCGGCAUCCUGGACCGAGAUUGACGCUGAGGCGCGAAAGCUAGGGUAGCAAACGGG